rnacentral:RNase_P_RNA from 1 species
ACUACAAAUCGUUCUAUCGCUCCGAUUUUUCGGGGAGGAAAGUCCGGGCAACACAGGGCAACCUGCUUUCUAACGGAAAGGUCUCGUUUAUUCGGGAACAGAAAGUGCCACAGAAAAUAACUACUUCGAGCAAUCGGAGAAAAGGUGAAAACGUGAGGUAAGAGCUCACGAUAUUGUUUAGUGAUAAGCAAUAGGGGAAAACCUCAGGUGUUGAAAGACCAAAUAAAUCUCAGUAAUGAAGCUGCCCGCUUCUGUGCCGUAUAGCCGCUGAGAAGGGUAGGUUGAUAGAUUCGUCGAGCAAUUGCCGAACUAGAUAAAUGAUAGAACACGACAGAACCCGGCUUAUAGAUUUGUAAAAUUA